ACCACACACACCCAAAAUCACCCCCAGCACUUAUCACAGUGCUAUGUGCAAAGAAGAUUCCGAAGGGUCUGUGCUAUUAAACUGAACAUAGUACAAAGAAUGCUAGAAAUUAAAGUUCAGGUCCUGACUCAGCUUUGUGGUAUGUGACCUCGAAGACAGUUAUUCCGGGCCUCACAGUAGUUUCAUGAGUCUAUGAAUUUCAUCGUUUCACAGCCAAUUUACCAUAUAUAUGGUAAAAUGAAGCUUUUAUAGGCAAUGCAAUUCCCACUGAAAACACCAAAACGCCACCAAUUCCACAUCCACCAAGAUUAUAGUUUUCCUUGGACCACUAG
rnacentral:lncRNA from 1 species